GAAGGCCCUGCAGCGCCUGGUGAGUGGCGCCUUCACCUGGGGACAAGGUGUCCCCUGGGUGUCCCCAGACCCCCCCCUGAAGCCCCCCCGGCAGCGCUGGUGUUGGGGACCCCGGCCCGAGGGCCGCCCGGUUUGGGAGCCCAUGGGGGGCCCGGGGGGGGCCCUGGAGCAGCUGCAGC